CCAGGGGCGACUCCCCCACUCUUCCAAAACCCUCAAACUUCAUUAAACUUGCAAAUUGAAGGUUUAAUCCAAGUUGGAAUCGAAAUUAAAGUAUGGAAUACUGAUCCUCAUCACAAGAGGAUUACAAGGAAAGGAUCCCGGAACGUCGAGUGGACAAGCCGGUGGUGAUUUGCGGUUGAAGGGCGUACACUAAGUUUAGGUACUCAAGGAUUACGGAUGACGAUCAAGCAAACUUUUGAAGAACCGAACACAUAUUUUUGAAGCUUCCGCAUAAUUUAACUCGUUUUGAACAAUGUUACGAUGUAAAGUGUUUGCUAAACAUCUAAAUGAAAUUAUUAAAUUAGUUAGUAGAAAACUAAUGUUGAUACUUUAGUACUAUACUUUUGGAUCUUAUUAUAUAAAAUGAUCGUAGAAUUUACAUA